GAUGAAGAACGUAGCGAAAUGCGAUAAGUAGUGUGAAUUGCAGAAUUCAGUGAAUCAUCGAAUCUUUGAACGCACAUUGCGCCCUUCGGUAUUCCGUUGGGCAUGCCUGUUCGAGCGUCAUUUAAACCUUCAAGCUAUGCUUGGUGUUGGGUGUUUGUUCCGCCUCAGCGCGUGGACUCGCCUCAAAUUCAUUGGCAGCCGGUAUGUUGGCUUCGUGCGCAGCACAUUGCAAGCGAUUUUAGCAGACCCCCUGCCACAAGCCUUUUUUUACUUUGACCUCGGAUCAGGUAGGGAUACCCGCUGAACUUAAGCAUAUCAAUAAGCGGAGGA
rnacentral:misc_RNA from 1 species